CGUGUAGGCGGUUUUUUAAGUCAGAUGUGAAAGUUCGGGGCUCAACCCCGGAAUUGCAUUUGAAACUGGAGAACUUGAGUACUGGAGAGGUAAGUGGAAUUCCUAGUGUAGCGGUGAAAUGCGUAGAUAUUAGGAGGAACACCAGUGGCGAAGGCGACUUACUGGACAGAUACUGACGCUGAGGCGCGAAAGCGUGGGGAGCGAACA
rnacentral:rRNA from 1 species